rnacentral:rRNA from 1 species
CAGUAGCCGCGGGAAUACGGAGGGUGCAAGCGUUAAUCGGAAUUACUGGGCGUAAAGCGUGCGUAGGCGGUUUGUUAAGUCUGCUGUGAAAUCCCCGGGCUCAACCUGGGAAUGGCAGUGGAUACUGGCAAGCUAGAGUGUGUCAGAGGAUGGUGGAAUUCCCGGUGUAGCGGUGAAAUGCGUAGAGAUCGGGAGGAACAUCAGUGGCGAAGGCGGCCAUCUGGGACAACACUGACGCUGAGGCACGAAAGCGUGGGGAGCAAACAGGAUUAGAUACCCCCGUAGUCCCUGUCUCUUAUAC